rnacentral:sRNA from 1 species
CUUUACUCCGUCGAUACAUAACAGUUAUCAGAAAUCAUAUUUGUCGAUAUUGUCUUUGUUGAAAAUGACACGCUCUGGCAAUAACACAAUGCCGUUACCUUUUGCCUCAUAGUGAUAUCCCUGCUCACUAUUAGGUGAAACGGUGACUUUGCCGAUGCCGGGAAUAUCCAGUGAAUCACCGACAUUCAUUGGCAUAUUUUUCAGCAACGCGUUGGCGACAUA